AUGUUAGAGAAAAAACAACAACAAGAUAAUAAAAUUUUAUCAGAAUCUAAAAACAAUAAUAAAAAUAAGAAUAAUAUACAACCAGGGACAGGAAGGUUACUAAAUAAAAAGUUCGAUUCAAAUACUACUACUACUACCACAUCAAGUAGUGUUAAUGAAAAAAAACCAAAUAGUGAUAAAUUAACUGCAAAGGUAUGGAAACAUCAUAUAAAAUCAUUAUGUAUAUUAAAAUUAUCUAAUAUAAUAAAAACUGAUUUCGUAUCUGAAAAAAUAACUACAUUAACAUUUGAAACUUUAUGUAAUUUUAUAUUUGAAAUAUAUGUAGCUUUAAAUUUUAAUUUCUAUACAUCUGACCAUUUAAUUAAUAAAAAAAAUGGUAUGAAUAAAUAUAAUAAUCAAUUAAAUUGUUGUGUCAGUGGUAAUGAGGUAAUGACUUCUUUAGAUUCACAUUAUGCAGCUAAAAAUGGUACAUCUAUUCAACCUACUAUUACUAAUACUGUCACCAUCAACAAUAACAAUAACAACGACAAUAACAAUAACAACAAUAACAACAAUAACAACAAAAACAACAACAAUAACAACACCAACAACAAUAACAACACCAACAACAACAACAACAACAACAAUAACAACAACAACAACAACAACAACAAUAACAACACCAACAAUAACAACAACAGUAAUAAUAACAAUAAUAAUAAUAACAAGAAUAAUAUAAGUUUUAUCAACCAUUUAAAUAAAAUAGAAUUAAAUGAUAAAGAUAUUGAUAUAUUAAUUAAUGUUUUUAAAAAAUAUAUUACUGAUCUGACUUUGAUCAUGUCAAAUAAAGAAACAGUGAACAGCGAUGACAGUAAUGAUAAAAAAACAUACGCUACACCGAAUGAGAAUACUCAUACUAAUAUUACGUGUAUGAAUAACAAUGAAACUAGCCAAAACAUUAGCAACGAAGUAAACCAAAACAUUAGCAACGAAGUAAACCAAAANNNNNNNNNNAUUAGCAACGAAGUAAACCAAAACAUUAGCAACGAAGUAAACCAAAAAGAUAACAACGAAGUAAAACAAAAAGAUAGCAACAAAACUUUUCUGAAAUGUAACAACGAAGCUAGUCUAAAAAGUAACGAUACGAAUCACUUUAAUGAAAAAAAAGAUACACCAAACAAAGUUAAUGAAAACAAAAACGAAAUAGAAUUAGAAAAUAAAUGGACUACACAUGAAGUUUCUUUACUUGCUAAAUGUUUAAAAGUUUAUCCAGGAGGUACUAAGAAUAGAUGGGCACUUAUAGCAAAUACUAUUAAAACAAAGAAUGUUAAAGAAAUUAUUAAAAAAACGAAAGAAAUGUUUGAAAAUGAAACUUUAAAAAAUUUAAGUAAAAAAUUUGAUGAAACACCAUUCGAUAAUUUUAAAGCUCAAAAUAAAGGAGUUAUGAAAAAAAUUGAUGAUAAUUUAGAUAAAAGAGAAUAUCAAAAUAAAGAAACCAAUAAUAUGAAUAAUAUAAAUGGUCAUAUUGAAACAAUACAUAGACCAUGGACUCAAAUCGAACAAACAACAUUGGAAAACGCGUUACGUAAAUAUCCUUCAUCUAUCCCAAUCAAAGAACGAAUAGAACUAAUUUCCGUUGAAUUAAAAACUAGAACAUCAAAAGAAGUUUUACUAAGAAUUAAAACAUUAAGGGAGAAAAUAUUAGCAGCUAGGGAAACUAAAUAG
rnacentral:lncRNA from 1 species